GCGACUGUGAUGGAAUUGGUAGACAUAAGACACUUAAGAUGUCUGGGCAUUAGCCGUGAAGGUUCGACUCCUUCCAGCCGUA
rnacentral:tRNA from 1 species